ensembl:lncRNA
GUUUGAUGGAAACAUGGAGAUGCCUCUCAAAUGAUGUGGGCUUCCCUGAUGGCUCAGACGGUGACGAAUCUACAUGCAAUGUAGGAGACUUGGGUUUGAUCCCUGGGUCAGGAAAAUCCCCUCGAGAAAGAAAUGGCAACGCACUCCAGUAUUCUUGCCUGGAGAAUCCCACGGACAGAGGAGCCUGGUGGGCUACACAUAUGGACUUGCAAAGAAUUGGACAUGGACUUUCACCUUCACUCUUCUCACGUGCCAUCCCUGGGGCUAGCAGGAGAAUCCAUUCCCCCAGACCACUUAGGUCAGCAAAAGAGAGUGGGGAUUAUUGGGGAGGGUUGAAAGAUGGAAUUAUGCUGGAAAGACAAGCAACAGACGCCUCCCCUGGUGUCAGAACCAGCACUGGAACCCUGGCGAGGCCCAGUCCUCUGUUCUUUCCAGUCCACCUGCCUCCAAAGUGGACUAGCUCCGGGAGGAGUCCUCAUUCAGGUCCCCACCUCCAGGGAAGACUGUACCUAAACAUUCCAGACAAAUGAACCCCAUCCACAUUCUUCCAGGAAGGAGGUAAUUACCUCAGCUCUCCUGCCUGGUGUCCCUGGGGAAACUUCAGCCACAUGCCAGAGUCACGCUGGGUCAUUCAUGUAUGAACCUGUGUCCUGGACAAACAUAAAAAACUCUCAAUCACACUUGGGCUUGUAGGCUUGCACAGUGUCUAUUUGCUGACCUCAGAGGGACUCCCUAAAAGACGAGUGUGAUGAUGAAAUUAAUAAUAAAGGGGCCAGUGUGUCUCUGCCUUUGUCCCUGAGGUUCAACACUUCAGGGCAUUUGGCAUGGGACUCAUUUACUGGAAAACAGAUUAAUGUCAGGAUUCAGCCAGCAGACAGGGUCUGUGCUUAAGCAGGCUGAAUGCAACCCAGGCUGUAUGACCUUGGGUAACUCAUAUAACCUCUCCAUGUCUCUUGCCAUCUCAAAAGCAAUUGGAAUGCUAAGGACGCCUCAAAAGCUGGUUUUGACAAUUAAAAUGUAUGAAGUGUUUGAAAUGGACCCUGAUGCAUGCCAAGCACUCUAUAAUAAGUUAUGAUUAUUUAAUUCAUAAGGUAUUGAUGACACAUCUCCUAUGGGUCCAGACACUCUGCUAGGUGAAAGAAAUUCGGAGAUCCAUGAGGAUCUGGAAAACUAUAAUCAUAGUAUUCAGUCUAGGGGAAGAUAAGAC